rnacentral:snRNA from 1 species
AUAUUUACCUGGCAGGGGAGAUACCAUGAUCAGGAAGGUGGUUUUCCCAGGGCGAGGCUCACCCAUUGCACUGCGGGUGUGCUGACCCUGUGAUUUCCCCAAAUGUGGAAACUCGACUGCAUAAUUUGUGGUAGUGGGGGACUGCAUUCGCGCUCUCCCCUG